rnacentral:rRNA from 1 species
GACGAACGCUGGCGGCGUGCUUAACACAUGCAAGUCGAACGGAAAGGCCCUGCUUGCAGGGUACUCGAGUGGCGAACGGGUGAGUAACACGUGGGUGAUCUGCCCUGCACUUCGGGAUAAGCCUGGGAAACUGGGUCUAAUACCGGAUAGGAGCCAUUUUUAGUGUGAUGGUUGGAAAGUUUUUUCGGUGUAGGAUGAGCUCGCGGCCUAUCAGCUUGUUGGUGGGGUAAUGGCCUACCAAGGCGGCGACGGGUAGCCGGCCUGAGAGGGUGGACGGCCACAUUGGGACUGAGAGACGGCCCAGACACCUACGGGAGGCAGCAGGGGGGAAUAUUGCACAAUGGGCGCAAGACUGAUGCAGCGACGCCGCGUGGGGGAUGACGGCCUUCGGGUUGUAAACUACUUUCGCUAGGGACGAAGCUUUUUGUGACGGUACCUAGAUAAGAAGCACCGGCUAACUACGUG